GACGAACGCUGGCGGCGUGCCUAAUACAUGCAGGUCGAGCGAAGUUUUUCUGGUGCUUGCACUAGAAAAACUUAGCGGCGAACGGGUGAGUAACACGUAAAGAACCUGCCUCAUAGACUGGGACAACUAUUGGAAACGAUAGCUAAUACCGGAUAACAGUAUUUCUCGCAUGAGAGAUAUUUAAAAGUUGGUUAUGCUAACACUAUGAGAUGGCUUUGCGGUGCAUUAGCUAGUUGGUGGGGUAAAGGCCUACCAAGGCGACGAUGCAUAGCCGACCUGAGAGGGUGAUCGGCCACACUGGGACUGAGACGCGGCCCAGACUCCUACGGGAGGCGGCAGUAGGGAAUCUUCCGCAAUGGGCGAAAGCCUGACGGAGCAACGCCGCGUGAGUGAAGAAGGAUUUCGGUUCGUAAAGCUCUGUUGUUAGGGAAGAAUGGAUAUGUAGUAACUAUACAUAUAGGAGACGGUACCUAACCAGAAAGCCACGGCUAACUACGUGCCAGCAGCCGCGGUAAUACGUAGGUGGCAAGCGUUGUCCGGAAUUAUUGGGCGUAAAGCGCGCGCAGGUGGUUUAAUAAGUCUGAUGUGAAAGCCCACGGCUCAACCGUGGAGGGUCAUUGGAAACUGUUAAACUUGGGUGCAGGAGAGAAAAAUGGAAUUCCUAGUGUAGCGGUGAAAUGCGUAGAGAUUAAGAGGAACACCAUGGCGAAGGCGGCUUUUUUGGUCUUUAACUGACACCGAGGCGCGAAAAGCGUGGGGGAGGCAAAACGG
rnacentral:rRNA from 1 species